GCGCCGUCGCGGUAAGAUUUCAAACAUUCUCCGUCGCUAUAGCACCUGAGGACAGAAGUUGUUCAUGUUAUUUAGAGUUUUUGUACACACCAGUAGCGAAGCCGGUAUGUGACGAGCUACAGUUCAUUGUAAUAGAUACACUUUGCCAUGCAGGCCACUGAAUGCUGACUACUGAAGGUUAGGUUGUGGGUGACGUGCUCAGCACAGCUUCAUGUCUGGCCUUGCCACUCUGUUCAUAGCACGUUACAUAUUCAAUCUUGAGUACCAGGAUGGGGCAGCGUGUAUCUUGGAGUCCAAUGAAAGAUAUUAAUCCAGAGAGUGGAACAAGAAGAAGCGUCAUCUAAAAUGCCAGGAUAAAGAAGAAACAGUUCAUGCUACUUGAUGUGCUCUGAUGGAUCAAGAUGUGGACCGUUUUACAGACUCACUUGGGCCUUGUUUUGCGAUGUUGUUACACAGUGGUGUAGUCAAGCUUUUUGUAGUGAGUAUACUGUGCUUUUCUCCCCUCCCAGCCUCAUACGCACCCAUCCCAGAGCGACACCCCAUGGAACCACCACACUCACUAAUGCCUAAAGUAUGCAUCUACAUGUAAUUGAGAGCAUUAUUAAAGACUGCUUCUGUGUUAUCAACAUUCCAAUUUAUUAUAAACAACAAAAAAGUUGGCAGCACCCAUUGACUUUCAUAGUCUAUAUUUUUUUCCUACUGUGGAAGUCAAUGGGUGCUGCGAACUGUCUGAUUACCAACAUUUUUCAAAAUAUCUUCUUUUGUGUUAAACAGAAAAAGAAACUCAUACAGUUUUGGGACAACUUGAGGGUGAGGAAAUUAUAACAAUUUUAAUUUUUGAGUGAACUAUACCUUUUAGAAUGAUGAUACUAUAUGAAUAUGGUACCUGGAGCACAGGUUUUAUCAGCUGACUGUCUUUUGUUGUUGAUAAUAAAUUGGAAUGUUGAUAACACAGCACGAACACUCAGUCACAUCAUCAUUCAGAUCACUGCAAGGGGGGCAGGAGAUCGCCGGUCCUGCGCUGACAUGACAAUCUUUGAUAGGCAGACGCGUGAUAACAGCUCGACCGUGAGUGAAACCUAAGCGCUUGCGCAUGGUUGGGAGUGGCGGGUGACAUUAAUUUUCGGUUUACAUUUCUGCUGUUUUUUAUUUCGGCCCGAAACCAAUAAUGCCAUUUUCGGCCGAACAUUUUCGUGUGUGCUGAGCAGCUGAUAUCUACCUAACUUACUGUCCCUCCACUCUAACCAAUGAUGCCUGUUUUUAAAUUCCCUAGCCUGACUUUCAGUCCACAAGGCUGGCCAGGGGUUCUCAUUUCUCUCAUCAUCUGAAAUAAGGAGAUAUACAAUUUAUAUUCUGUUUACCACACACACACACACAAUCUCCCCUCUUCUGCCGUAUUAAUUGAUCCACCACACUAACGGUAGUGAAGUUAGCAAGUUCUGGAUAAAAUUCAAUAUACCAACAAUCCCCUGCUAUUACAGUUACGUUUAAUGAUAACAUGUACUGUAUGCUAGCUUUACUUAACAGGUAACUUUACGAUAGCAUCAGCCUCAUUUUCUGGAGUUUCUGUAACGAUCGUGUCAUCUGCUGCAGCUGAAGUGUCACCAGAAGCUGCUGUAGCUUUAGGGGCAGGCUUCCAAAAACACUCAGAGAGUGUACUUUGAGUCUGCUUUCGUUUCAUAUCUUCUAAUUAAGAUUCAGAAUAACGUUAGUCUUGCGACGUAAAGACACUCAAGAUGAAUUUAAAACUUGUGCCGAAAAAGACCGCCAAGCAACUGCUUUUCCUUGGUAGGUGACGUCAGAUCCAGGUUACAGGCCACGGAAGCCCCAAUGGUCCAAAAACGUUAGUGAUUCGCAAUCGCAACACAGACGGGGUGAAUUUAUGAAUGAAAGUUCUUUCACAAAACGAUGUUA